GCUGGAAUGGCUCAGCAGGUAGAGCGGGUCACUCGUAAUGAUCAGGUCGCCGGUUCGAAUCCGGCUUUCAGCUCCA
rnacentral:tRNA from 1 species